AAGCAGCCACCCUUUAAAGAAAGCGUAAUAGCUCACUGGACUAGUGAUCCUGCGCCGAAAAUGUAACGGGGCUAAAGGAUUGUACCGAAGCUAUGGACUCAGUUUACUGAGUGGUAGGAGAGCAUUGUGUUUACCGAUGAAGCCGUACCGAUAAGGAGCGGUGGAGGUCCCACAAGAGCUGAUGCUAGAAUGAGUAGCGAUAAGAAGUGUGAGAAUCACUUCCGCCGAAAAUCUAAGGGUUCCUGGGCCAGGUGACUCCGCCCAGGGUUAGUCGGAUACUAAGGCGAGGCCGAAAGGCGUAGUCGAUGUCUAACAGGUUAAUAUUCCUGUACUUAGUAAUGUUCGCUUGACACGAAGGAGUGACGGAGAAAGGUAGCAAAGCCCACUGUUGGAUAUGUGGGUUUAAGUAAGUAGGUGGGUGUCUUAGGUAAAUCCGGGACGCUAUUAACAUCGAGAUACGAAUACGAGGGCCUAGCCCGAAGUUUGUGAUCCUCUGCUUCCAAGAAAAGCUUCGCGUGAAGAAUAUUAUUAAUCCGUACCGUAAACCGACACAGGUAGAUGAGAAGAGAAUUCUCAGGCGCUUGGGAAAACUCCAGUUAAGGAACUCUGCAAAUUGGUGCCGUAACUUCGGGAGAAGGCACGCCUUUGUUGGUAAUACCGCUUGCCGGUAGAGCUGAUGGAGGCCGCAGUGAAGAGGGGGUAGCGACUGUUUAUCAAAAACAUAGGUCUAUGCGAACACGUAAGUGGAUGUAUAUGGACUGACGCCUGCCCGGUGCUCGAAGGUUAAAAGGAGGGGUUAUCGAUUCGUCGAGAAGCUCUGAAUUGAAGCCCGAGUAAACGGCGGCCGUAACAAUAACGGUCCUAAGGUAGCGA
rnacentral:rRNA from 13 species